GUGAUAAUAAUUAUCCAAGAUUUUUUCCCAUAGUGGAAGAUAUGGAGAAGUUUGAAAUAAGGAAGUAAGGGUCAGAGAUAACCAAGCCCUUGAGCUUUGGCUCAUCAGAAAGCCAUACGAUAGGUUCUGAGCUAUAUUAAUCUCUUCGGUUUUCUCCUUUGCUUAAGCAUUAGGCCACUGCUUCUCCAGCCUCCUGACUUCCCAGAGCUUCCCCAUUCUGAUUGUUUCCCUCCAGUAAACACUGGGAUUGCCUAUGGAGUUUUUAUCAUUAAAAAAAAAAUUGGAUCACGAAUCACAUGUCUAGCAACUUUCUGUCUUUAAGAUAAAGAAGCACCAGCAGAGCUGGCGAGCAGAAACCUGGCCUCAGGGCAAAAGAGAUGCCACAGAAAUAGUUACACAGGCCUCGGAAGGGAAGCCUCCACUGCGUGUACGGCCCCCGUGGACUGCCGCAGGAUUUCCUAGGAUCCUCCUGGAAGCCUCAAAGAAUGGGUCAGAUUUUUGUGGAUUCUAAGCAUCAUGACACUCUAUAAAAGAGAGCCUGGAGCAACCUUGAAAUUAAGCCACACAGGCAGCCAUUUACUUGGUUAAUGAACAUUGCUAUUUCAUUGGUUUUAAGGUAAGUAUAAUUUAGAUCAAUGCCUUGAAGAAACACUGUAAAUUAUCACUUGGAGAGUUUUCCAUUCUCUUUCAAGAGCAGCUCCUAUCUUCAUUGUAACAACUGCUUUUCCAGAGGGACCAUGCCUGCAGUAACUCUUCAUGUAUAACAUCAUAGGUAUCUGUAUCACUUUUGUUGUAAUGUAAUCCAGUUCAUGUUUAUUCCAUUUUACAAUUAACUUGGGGAAACAAGGAACCGUUGAACCACUAGCAUGAAUUGAAUCUAUGAGAAUUUUUCAUCUUCACGAAAUUUAUCCUGAAGUGCUUUUUCUUUAGAUUUCUGACAUAUUUGAAUCGAAGAUUUGAGAAUACUAAAGUCACUGUCAGUUACCACGAGGGAAUGCGUUUAGAAAUAUUUUUCAAUUUGGUGAUCACAAAAGAAAUUUGACAUACAUUUAAAAACUGUCAGUUUACCAUUUUGUGGUUAUCACCAAGGAUAAAAUACAUUGUAAUUUUAAAUGGCAGAGUUUGUUAUAGAAAUCAGUUUUGCCAUUUGUCUUUUGAGUAUUGCAAAUGCAAAGACCAUAUAUUAAAGUCCAGGAUUUAUAUAAUCUUUAUAAAAUUCUGGGAUAAACCAGAUUUGUGAAUUUGCAUGACACAGACAUCAGAUGUGUG
rnacentral:lncRNA from 1 species